ACAUGCAAGUCGAACGGGCGUUAGGGGCUUGCUCCUAAGUUAGUGGCGAACGGGUGAGUAAUACAUCGGAACGUACCGUGUAUGGGGGAUAACGUAGCGAAAGUUACGCUAAUACCGCAUACGAUCUACGGAUGAAAGUGGGGGGACCUUUCGGGCCUCACGCUAUACGAGCGGCCGAUGUCUGAUUAGCUAGUUGGUGAGGUAAAGGCUCACCAAGGCAACGAUCAGUAGCGGGUCUGAGAGGAUGAUCCGCCACACUGGGACUGAGACACGGCCCAGACUCCUACGGGAGGCAGCAGUGGGGAAUUUUGGACAAUGGCGAAAGCCUGAUCCAGCCAUGCCGCGUGUCUGAAGAAGGCCUUCGGGUUGUAAAGGACUUUUGUCAGGGAGCAAAACUUAGAGGUUAAUAACCUUUGAGGUUGAGAGUACCUGAAGAAUAAGCACCGGCUAACUACGUG
rnacentral:rRNA from 1 species